CUGGCUGAUCGGCUCCUUUAAUCCGUAUUUACCUUACUAAACCUCACCUUGCUGCUUACUGAAUUGAAUUUAGUCAUUUUACUAAUCGCAGAGCUUUCUUACCUGCAAUGCGUCAUUCAAAUUUUGCCCUAAUCAGCUCUGAUGGUAGUCUAGAGGCCUACAUGGAUCAAACGGGUGACGGAGGAUUAGGGUUCGAUUCCGGAGAGGGAGCCUGAGAAAUGGCUACCACAUCCAAGGAAGGCAGCAGGCGCGCAAAUUACCCAAUCCCGACACGGGGAGGUAGUGACAAUAAAUAACAAUACCGGGCCUUUCCAGGUCGGGUAAUUGGAAUGAGUACAAUCUAAACCCCUUAACAAGGACCAAUUGAAGGGCAAGUCGGGGGCCAGCAGCCGCGGUAAUUCCAGCUCCAAUAGGGUUAUAUAAAAA
rnacentral:rRNA from 1 species